GAUGUGCUUUCUAGUAAGGACAGUGGAAAGUUGCCCGACACCCUAGAAGACGCCAAGUCCUCCGAUUCUCACAGUGAUUCCGAAGGGGAACAGAAGAAAGCUGGAGAGGCCUCCACAGAGACCAAGAAGCUAAUCAUAAAGUUUAAGGAGAAAAAUAAAAGUACUGAGAAAAGAAUUGGCCCAGAAAUACAAAAAGAAAAAAGUACUCCAAAACAGAAUCCAUCAAAUACAAAUGAAGAAAAACCCAAAACUCUUAAGAAAUCGACAAACCCUUAUGGGGAAUGGCAAGAAAUUAAACAGGAGGCUGAGUCUCAGUAAGUACAUGAGGUGUCACCCAUUGCUGUGUCCACGAACUUCAGCACACUGCUGUCAGAAGUCUCAGGUGUGCUCUGGUCUUUAUUACAUUCUUAGGAUAUUUUUUUAAAGAUUUAUUUAUAUGAGUACACUGUCACUCUCUUCAGAUACACCAAAAGAAGGCAUUGGAUCCCAUUACAGAUGGUUGUCAGCCACCAUGUAGUUGCUAGGAAUUGAACUCAGGACCUGGGGAAGAGCAGUCAGUGCUCUUAACAUCUUAGCCAUCUCUCUAUCCCUGAAUAUAUUUUUUUUAAUUUUAUUUAUUUAUGUAUGAAUGUUCUAUGUGCAUAUAUGGUGUAUACCAGAAGAGGGCAUCAGAUCCAUUAUAUAUAGUUGUGAGCCACCAUGUGGUUCCUGGGAAUUGAACUUAAAACCUCUGGAAGAGCAGAUAGUCUUCAUAACCACUAAGCCAUCUGUCCAGCGCCCAUUCUUAAAAUAUUUUUAAUUUUGCUUUUUUCAUUCCUAGAAUAUUUUUACUUUUAAAAGAUGAAACAAUGGUUGCUUUAAGCCAACUUAGUGAUUGUUCUGUGUCCAAAGCAUGACAUUUCUAGUGACCACAGUCACACACUCAGCAGCAGUUUUAUCAGAAAAACAAAUGCUUGGAGCAAAUAUUCUGCAAGACACUUUAACUACAGAAUGCAUUUGAAGGAAAAGAAAAAGUGUUUACCCUUAUUCUCUUGAAGUGUCUGACUAUACUUCAAAGUGUUCUGUGUAUAUUAUUGCCCAGAGUGUAUUGUGGGUGUGAAUUUUGUUUUUGUUGAUUUGGUUUGGUUUGGUUUUCUUGAGUCUUGUGUAGCCUGAUCUGGUUCCACCUCAAGGGUGGUAGUAUUAACAGGUGUACCACUGUACCUGGCUCUAAACUUCAAAGCUCUUAAGCUCAUAUUCAAAGUAGCAGAAGAGGUUAUCAAUAGUUAAGCACAACCUGAUUUAUGUUACUGACUUAACUCCUCAAAUAAGUUUUCUUUUUAGAGGAAUUUAUUUUACCAGGUAAAUACAUGUCACUAUCAGGCAAUCAUUUUAGUGUUUUGGGGUAUCUUUAUUGUUUUGAUUUUUUUUUUUUAACCUUUAAGAGAACCUUCAAGGUGAAGGGAAGGUAUAUGGAUAAAGUAGAUACUAUUUAAAACCAUGCUUUGAAAUGGUAGUGUAGGACGGAUACUUUUUAAAGAUCUAUUUUAUUUAUAUGAAUACACUGUAGCUGUCUUCAGACACACCAGAAGAGGGCAUCAGAUCCCAUUACAGAUGGUUGUGAGCUACCAUGUGGUUGCUGGGAAUUGAACUCAGGCCCUCUGGAAGAGCAGUCAGUGCUCUUAACUGCUAAGCCAUCUCUCCAGCCCAGAUGUAUACUUUUAAUGUACUUCCAUUAUGAAUUGUUUAUUAUUAAAGUUCUUGGCCAAGGAUGGCGCCCAUAACACAAGCACUUAGGAGACAGAGGCAGGAUUUCCCUCAGAAGCAUACACUAUGAAAUGCGUAUCUCAAAAAGUUGUCAAAACCAAAGGCUGCUCUUUAAUGGACAAGUUGUACUUUUUUGUACAGUAAUGCAAGUCCUGGGCAGCUCUGUAAGACACCCUCUUCUGGCCUCCACAGGCACAGACACUCAGACACAAUUUAAUUUAAAAACAGCAAGAAACUGAAGGGAACUUACACUAGCAGCUUGACAGCACACCUGAAAGCUCUAGAGCAAAAAGAAGCAAAUACACCCAAGAGGGUUAGGCAACAGGAAAUAAUCAGACC
rnacentral:lncRNA from 1 species